rnacentral:lncRNA from 1 species
AUUUUAGGCUGCUUGUGGAAGCCAGACCAAAUAACAGGAAGAUAUUGCAGCAAGAUGGACUUGGAAGAGGAUCAGUCUCAUUUGCAGCUCCAACAGACACCUGACCAUCAUCAAAGAGAGACUCCUACUCCAGAAAUCAUUGGAACUUGGAGCUUGCGGAACCGAGAACAACUCAGAAAAAGAAAAGCUGAAGCACAAGAAAAGCAAACUUCACAAUGGGCAUUUCGAGAACAGAAGAAACGCAAGUGGCAAAAAACAGGAAAAGGAAAAGGAAAAGGCCCGAAGAGACAACAAAAUGCAGAACCAAAGAUAGAGCCUCCGUCACAAAUAGCAAAGAAAAUGAUGGAGGAAGCACUGGUACCUAAAGAGGAAGAAAAUGAGUCACGUGGGAGAGUAGCUGAAGCCCCUGCUUUGGUAGCUUCCCUAAAAAACACUGUGGCUGAGGAACAUUCUUUUGAACUACCUCAAGAAAGCAUUACAUACCAGGAAAAUUCUUCUGAGUGCCAAGAAAUAGUGGUACAAAACCAUUCUUCUGAAACAUGCCAACAUAUGGCUGAACCUGAAGACCUUGCUCCUAAAAUGUGCCAAAAGAUAUCUGUACUUCAAGACCAUUCUUCCAAAGUAUGUCAAGAUGUGGCUCAGCCUGAAGUUCUUGCUCCUAAAACAUGCCAAGAAGUAGCUGUGAUUCAAGCUCAUCCUUUCAAAAUAUGGCAAGAUACAGUUCAGUCUGAAGUCCUUGUUCCUCAAAUGUGCCAAGAAACAAGUGUUCCCAAAGCCCCUUAUUCUACAACCUAUGAAGUUGUUGCUGACCAGGAAGGGUGCACUCCUGAAGCAGCCCUCAAACUGGAUGUGCCUAGAGACUACGCAGAGGACACAGACGAAGCCACAGCUGGACCAGAAAAACCCACUUUGAGACAAGAUCAAGCUGAGAUUGAAGGCUUCUUUCUCCAAACACAAGAAAUAGCUCAGCCUAAAGACCUUUCUACAAAAACAUACCAAGAAACAAUGGAAUCUGAAUACUUUUCUCAUAAAACAUACAGAGAAAUGAAUGUGCCUAACAGUCUCUCUCAUAAAACAAUCCAAGAAACACCCAAGCCUGAACAAUAUUUGCCUGAAAUAAACCAAGAAACACCUGGGCCUGAAGAAUAUUCACCUGAAAUAAACCAAGAAACACCUAGGCCUGAAGAAUAUUCACCUGAAAUAUACCAAGGAACACAUGAGCCUGAAGACCUCUCUACUAAAACAUAUAAAAAUGAGCAUGUACUUAAAGAACAUCUUCCAGAACCAUACCAAGAAACAGGCAAGCCCCAAGGCCAGGAUCCUAAAGCACAUGGAGAAGAUGCUAAGGAUGUUUAUACUCUUCCUCAAGAAAUGCAAGAAAAACCCAAAGUAGAAGAACCAGAAGUAGCAGCAAUUCCACAUGUUCAAGAGAUUCAUCCAGAAAACGAUGUGUAUAACUAUGUUUUGUUUUAACAAUGUUCAACCAUAAAGUUGUAAUCCAAUGGAAUGUACAUCUUAAUAUUUUAUGUGUGUUUUUCUCAAAGUAUUGUAGAAAUACCUACAAUUUUCAUGAAUAAUUUAACUUAGUCUCUUUUCCUUUUAUAUUUGAGAAGACUAACAUUUUUAAGACUCAAAAACAUGUUUGUGUGUGUGUGCACGUGUGUGUGUAUAUAUGUGUGUGUGUGUGUGUGUGUGUGAAGGGAAGAGACAAGGGAAGGCUGAAUAAUUUUUCCUUCUAAUAACAAACAUUUAAUUCCUUUUUAGUACCGGGGAUCGAACUCGGGUCCUUGCGCUUUCGAGGAAGGCACCGGAACCACUAAGCUAAAUCCCCAGCCAACAAACAUUUAAUUCUUAAGAGCAAAAAAGUGGUUAUAUUUUGGAAGUAUAUAGUUUUCUUGUCAAAGUUGUUCAAUUAUUGAUAUAACAGUACCAUCAAAAUUUUAUCCAUAUUUUGUUUCUUUUAGCUAAUCUGAAUAAUUUUUGUUCUGAGGCUCCUUAAAAGAUAUUUUGGAAUGAUGAAUGUAGUUUACUUUUUGUAUUUGAAUUUGGAUUUUCUAUUUUUUACUUUUUAAAUAUUGUAUUUAUGCAAAAUGUACAUUAAACUAUAUGCUUAACUGUAUGGACAGCAUCAUAGAGCUGUAGGGGUUAGAAGAUCUAUAUGGCAAACAGUCUUUGCUUAUUGGGGGUCAAUGUAGUUUCAUGGAAGAAUAAAACAGAAAACCUAUAAUUCUAAAAGAAACUAGUAAGCAUUAGUGCCAUGUGAAUAGUAGAUACAAUAGAGGAAACACUCACCUGUUGCUGGAGUUGAACCUUGAAAGAUGGGGGAAGAUUUGCACAGGAGAGAACAGCAGCAUUAUUGUAUGUCAACCAGAGAUGUGUGAGUUCAAGGGAUGCUCAAAAGAACAGCAUACAACUAUGAUUAAAGUGGGGUCCAUAUGCAAGUUGGCUUGCAUGCUAAAAAAAAAUCUUUCAUUACACAGCUAAUCUAUAUUUAGAGUGUAGAGAAUUUUACACACCUAAGAAGUGUAUCACAUUACAUAACAAGAAACUAAAUAAAACUUUUGAACAAUGAAAUAGUAGUUUUCUUAUGUUAGGAACAAUCAUCUGGAGAUAAUGGUCAAGAUGACAAUGACAAAGA